GUGGUGGCACAAAAUCGGAAGCCCCGACUGUUUACUAAAAACACAGCUAUCUGCAACGAUGUAAAUCUUAGUAUAGGUAGUGAGGUUUGCCCGAUGCCAUUAAUAUAAGAGAAGUGAUGGGUAACUGUUAAUUAUCGAAAAUCUGGUUAAUAGCGGUCUUAACUAUGAGGAUCCUAAGGUAGCAAAAUAAAUUGGCCAUUAAAUGUGGUCCGGUAUCAAUAAUUUAACGAUGGCUUCACUGUCUCUACAACUUGCUCAGUGAAAUUGAAUUACCCGUGCAGAUGCGGGUUGCCACCAG
rnacentral:rRNA from 1 species